UUGAUGGAGACUGUGGGCCAUUUUCGUUGAAGGACUACAUAUCCCAUGAUGCCUCGCUUUCAAGAUGACCAAAUGGAACACGGAGCAGACCAGCCGUUGUGACAGCUGAGAGACCCAAGAGUUCGCUGUGGUAAACUUCAGCGCCGACUACGACCUUGAGUAGAACACGAAGUAAAUAAAUAUGACACACUCAGGACAGGACAGAAGCCGGCCGGUAAAACAGCACUAGCAGCAGAGAGCUUUUCAUUGAAUGGACCCAAAUUUAAGGAGUCAGUGACCCGCCUACACAAACCAUUGCAUGCUAAGAUAACUGCUGCAGCAGCACAUCAUUACCUUCUCAACCAAUCCGAGCCUGAUGCCCUGGAAGCCUACAGUGUCUCCCUGAGCCACCAGGGGGCCUCAGUCCCACCGUGGGACACCCAGCUCCUAGUUUACCUUCACCCUGAACCCUCCAGCAGGAGUCAAGCUGUCCCACCCUGCCCCCUCAACCUCCUCUUCUUCUCCACCUGCUCCUUGUUCUCCUCCCCUCUGGCCCCCACAGACCCACCUGGCCUCCCAGUCAACCUUCUCC